UACAGAGGGGGCAAGCGUUGUUCGGAAUUACUGGGCGUAAAGGGCGCGUAGGCGGCCUUCUAAGUCGAACGUGAAAUCCCCGGGCUCAACCAGGGAACUGCGUCCGAUACUGGAAGGCUUGAAUCCGGGAGAGGGAUGCGGAAUUCCAGGUGUAGCGGUGAAAUGCGUAGAUAUCUGGAGGAACACCGGUGGCGAAGGCGGCAUCCUGGACCGGCAUUGACGCUGAGGCGCGAAAGCCAGGGGAGCAAACGGG
rnacentral:rRNA from 1 species